rnacentral:tRNA from 4 species
GGAGGGUUGGCAGAGCGGUUGAAUGCACCGGUCUUGAAAACCGGCAAGGGUUAAUAGCCCUUCCAGGGUUCGAAUCCCUGACCCUCCGCCA